rnacentral:lncRNA from 1 species
UCAGGUGGUUGUGGUGUAGACUGUGUCAGGCCUACGGAGUCAGCCAGUGGCUAGCGCAAGACCAGUCACUCCCUCUGCCUUCAGGCUUCUGUCAAUUUCAUUAUCAUCAAGCAGGAAUUAUGUCGUAAGUCACUGACCCUAACUGCAGACCAUGAAGUAAAUUAUGUAACUAGGUUUUUGCUUCUCCAGUGGUGACCACCCCCCCCCAUCCCCGCUCACAACUUGGGUUCUUCUCAGCGGGGCGAGCUGAGAAGCGGUCAUGAGCACCUGGGGAUUUUAGUAAGUGUGUCUUCCUAGAAUUCGAAGGCUCUCUCUUUCUAGAGGUGCUACAUAGUUGGUAAUGCUUGGAAUGGCAAUAGGGUAGAAUGAUUAAUCAAAGGCAUAUCUUCUAUAUCUGAAGAGUAUCCUUCCUUCAGGGUUUAAUAGACUGAGUCAGAUGGGUCUGAUAUUAAUCAAAAUUGUCUCUUCUGAGGACCGCUGAUAAGCAUUGACUUGCCGUCCCCUAAGGAAAUCCGAGCGGCUACAAAGCGUUUCUUUACUUCUCACUUCAAUUAAUGCUGCGCUUCGCUUGGUGAGUGCGUACUUUUUCUACCUGUACACAUUCCUGCAUUCAUGUAUUUUGUUUUUUUUGACUAAAGCUAUGUUACAUGGAAAGGAUUUUGAAGCCUUUUGUUUCCCUUGCUUUGUUUUAAUA